GAUAAGACAGACCCUGAGCGGGCAGACCGGCCUGGUGGGGAGGGGUGGGCAGACAGAUGAACCAUGAUAGGCGUGGUGAGGACAGACAGACCAUGGCAGGCAUGUGAGGACAGACAGACAGACCAUGGCAGCCAUGUGAGGGCAGACAGACCAUGGCAGGCAUGUGAGGACACAGACAGACCAUGGCAGGCAUGUGAGGACAGACAGACCAUGGCAGGCAUGGCAGGCAUGUGAGGACAGACAGACCAUGGCAGGCAUGUGAGGACAGACAGACCACGGCAGGCAUGUGAGGACACAGACAGACCACGGCAGGCAUGUGAGGACAGACAGACCAUGGCAGGCAUGUGAGGACAGACAGACCAUGGCAGGCAUGUGAGGACAGACAGACCACGGCAGGCAUGUGAGGACACAGACAGACCACGGCAGGCAUGUGAGGACACAGACAGACCACGGCAGGCAUGUGAGGACACAGACAGACCACGGCAGGCAUGUGAGGACACAGACAGACCAUGGCAGGCAUGUGAGGGCAGACAGACAGACCAUGGCAGGCAUGUGAGGACACAGACAGACCAUGGCAGGCAUGUGAGGGCAGACAGACCAUGGCAGGCAUGUGAGGACAGACAGACAGACCAUGGCAGGCAUGUGAGGGCAGACAGACCAUGGCAGGCAUGGCAGGCAUGUGAGGACAGACAGACCAUGGCAGGCAUGUGAGGACACAGACAGACCAUGGCAGGCAUGUGAGGACAGACAGACCAUGGCAGGCAUGUGAGGACAGACAGACCAUGGCAGGCAUGUGAGGACACAGACAGACCAUGGCAGGCAUGUGAGGACAGACAGACCAUGGCAGGCAUGUGAGGACAGACAGACCAUGGCAGGCAUGGCAGGCAUGUGAGGACAGACAGACCAUGGCAGGCAUGUGAGGACACAGACAGACCAUGGCAGACAUGUGAGGACAGACGGACGGACCAUAGCAGGCGUGGUGAGGAGUAUCUGAGACGGAACAAGGAACAGGAGAGGGUGGAGCGUGGUUCUGAGUCUGAGGCCCCUCCACCCCAUCAUGGCUCCCUGGGCUGGCCCCCAUGCUCCAGGUAGAGCAGCAGCAGGGGUGGGUUCAAAGCGCAGCUUCUGGAGACAUCCAGGCCUCCUGCUCCCUGGCUGUGAGUGAGCCUCUGUUUCCUCAUCUGUGACGUCGGGGAAUCCAGGACCCACUCACAGAACCAGAUGCCUGCAAAGCCCUGAGAACAGAGCCUGGCGCAGGCAGCACCACAUGGGUGUUUGCACCAUCAAUAUUACUAGUAUUCUGUCCCUCUCCUCGCCCCUGCCUCCCGGUGCCGCCGGCCACAUGCCCCUGAGGGGGACACGUCUUCUUCAUGGUUCUCUUCCUGGUCCAGCACAGUGACUGACGGGGACGGGGCUGAAUGAACGUCCGAGUGUACAUGACAGCCUGUGGGGCUGAGAGGCCCUCACAGCCCUCCUGUUGGUCCAGCUCUUUCCACGUCUUGGGGGAUACUCAGUGUUUUGCAUCCGUUUACUUCAACUCUGAGAAAUAGUUCUUAUCCUCGCUCUUACAGGUGAGCUAGGAGGGACCCAGAGCUGCGUGACUUCCCGGGCUAGAUGUGUGGCAUCUAACUGCGAUGGUUUCUCCAGGACUCUUGUAGAAAGGACGUACUCCCUCUCUUGAAAGUAUGUAGUAGCAAUCGGCAGAGAAAAACGCAAGGAAGGAGGCAUCCUCGGGUGCUAAAAUCCAGGCACGGUAAUUAGCUGAAAGCAUGUGAUAAACUGCAGAAUUGCAUGGCCCAGAGUGAGACGGGAGGGGCCUCCAGGGGCUCCCAGGUGAACCGGUAUCGGAGGCAUCAGGGAGCUGGUGCAGUGGGAGAGUCACCCCCGGAUGUGGCUUGUGCUGUGUGCAUCUGCUCCUCCUUCUCAGCCUCUUCCCCUGCAGCCUCCCUGCCCUCUCGCUCCUGCCUCUCAAAGCCUUUCCCCAUUUCUGAGCCAUGAAAGGCUUGAAAAUCACAUGGAUAUCUAAUGACACUACUUACAGAUGCACUUACCCUGUGACCCAGCGAUCCCACUUCUAGGAAUUUACCCGGAAGAAACACCUCCAGCGAUGUGUAAAUACUUAUGCACAAUUGAGUUACUUGUUAUGGCAUUAGUUGUAAUCUGUAAAAUAUUGGAAACAACCUACAUAUAUUUAAGUGUAAAUAUGGUUGAAUAAACGGCGGUAUAUUCACACAGUGGAGCGCGGGGCAGAUAUAAAAGGAUUGAGGAAGAGCUCCGUGAGAUGACGCGGCCUGAUUUCUAGGAUGUAUCGUUAAGUGACAAAAGCAAGUGCAAAAGAGUAUCCAUAGCAUGCUACCUUUGUGUAAGAAAGAAGGGGGAAUAAGAAAGUCGCCACAAAUGUGUUCACUCCUGCAAAAAGAAACACAGAAGGAGAAACCAGAAACCUAUGGGGCCGGGCGGGAAGAGGAGGUGACACAUGGGGACAUUUUUCUACUCUUCUGUAUAUGACUUCUUGCAUAGUUUUGACUUUUAGAACUGCGUCAUGUUUCUCAUAUUCAAAAAAAGGUAAAUUAACAAGGUUGGGGAAUGAAAUGUUAAUACAAAUGGAAACAAAUAAACCAAACUCUACUUCAAAUGGCAACAGAACCGCCCUGAAUGGGGAGGGGAACUGGCCCAGUGACCCCGCCCCCCGCCCCAGGUAACUCUUGAACAUGGUAUUUUGGCUCUCUGGACUAUAUAUCCUCAGUCAAAAGACAAAAAAAAAAAAAAAAACAGAACAAAACCCCUGAAAAUAAAUAUUGAGCUCUUGUUGGUAGAUUUGUUUUUCACAGCGUUGUGGGUUACCAAUUACGAAACCAGGACUGAGCAAACAAGUAAAUAUAUUGCCGAUGCUGGGAACCGAGACUUUUGCUAUUGGGGAGAGGAAGAGCAAAUAUGGGAAGAGAGAAGGUUGGAAGGAAAUCUGUGGUGCUGGGUUGGAAUUGGAGAUAUCGGUGUAAACUCAGGAUUCGUAAGAUAG
rnacentral:lncRNA from 1 species